rnacentral:tRNA from 1 species
GAGAUAGAAUACGUCCAAGGCCAGGUGUUCUAAGCCUAAAGCCAGGAAGCUUGACUACUUCCCUAUCUCU